AUUCUUUUGUGACUCAUAAACCUGAUGAUUGGAUUUUCAUACCAUUCUGUGAGAUGUGACUUCCUCAAACCCUGUUAGGAUGUGGGUGUACAGCCCAUCAAAUG
rfam:Cavia porcellus supercont2_10 genomic scaffold, whole genome shotgun sequence.